UCUUCUGCUUUUAUUUUUCUAUGUAAACAAACAUUGCUGAUUUCUUUGACAUUUGCACCUCAGGCAGAGUGCUGUGUUAAACUUUAAAGAAGUUAAACUUUAAAAACGUGUCUCAAGACGUUCUUCCGCAGGAGUGCAUUUUGCGUGAGUGGCUCCUCAAACGAUCCCCUGGCCCCAUCGAAAUAGAGUCAGCAUGUCCACAUGCGUAUGUCAUAGUCCUAUACUCAGUUCAGACAUUUAAUAAAUGU